GGGGCUGAUGACUGGGGUGAAGUCGUAACAAGGUAGCCGUACCGGAAGGUGCGGCUGGAUCACCUCCUAACAGGGAGACAAACACCGAUCUUGAUGUCUGAGUAUUUUUCUUAGGCCAAGAUCCUGUCACCUUAGGUCGAUCGGUACCUCAAAUUAGUUUCCAAAAACAGUUUAUUUUUAAAAAGUUUUUGGUCUAAUUUCAGUUUCUAAACUUUGUCUAGGUCACACCCCACAAGGGUUACUCCUGGGCCAUUAGCUCAGGUGGUUAGAGCGCACCCCUGAUAAGGGUGAGGUCCCUGGUUCAAGUCCAGGAUGGCCCAUUCGGUGUUGGGGGUAUAGCUCAGUUGGUAGAGCGCCUGCUUUGCAAGCAGGAUGUCAGCGGUUCGAGUCCGCUUACCUCCACUGACCGACCCCUUUCAGCAAUCAACCUGAGAGCCUUUGUGCUUGUGAUUUAGUUUUUUAAUUAGCUGAUUGAACCUAGCUUCCUUUCAUUCCAAUCUUUUUAAAGAUUAAGGUUGAAAAGAUGCUGGGCUCACUUCAAUUCUUAAAAACAAUUGAAGAGAUGUUCAGCAGAACCUUGACAACUGCAUAGUGAGUCUGGAAAAAGAAAAAGCAUCUCAUGGAUGCAUUUUUUUCUUGGUUUUUUCUUUGGUUUAGCCAAAGAUAAUCAAGUUAAUAAUGCUUUUUUAUUGAGUAAGAGCCGAGAAUCUCUAUUUUCUACAAAUAUCAAAAGAACAAUUUUCUUUUGUAUUUAGAACUUAUAGAUUUUUGUUUGGUCAAGCUACAA
rnacentral:misc_RNA from 1 species